rnacentral:rRNA from 1 species
CAACUUUCCUCUACGGAUCUCUUGGUUCUGGCAUCGAUUAAGAACGCAGCGCAAUGCGAUAAGUAGUGUGAAUUGCAUAAUUCAGUGAAUCAUCGCAUCUUUGAACGCACAUUGCGCCCCUUGGUAUUCCAUAGGGCAUGCCUGUUCGAGCGUCAGUU